AUGAGAGAUCAAUGGAUCCCAAGGAAAGAGGGGCUGAAGGUGGCAACAUUUAUAAAGAGAUCAAGACUCAGGUGGGUUAACCAGUUGAUCGACCCCCAGACAAAAGAGUGGAAGGUUGAUCUAGUGAAGCAAAUUUUCCAUUCUUUCGAUGCGGAUGAGAUUUGCAAAUUAAAAAUCCCGCGGGGGGGAUUAGACGACUGUAUCGCUUGGCACUAUGAAAAAACGGGCGUAUUCACGGUCAGGAGUGCCUACAAACUUGCAGUUUCGCUUAAGGGAAAGGGUACUGAAAAAGCUACGAGCUCCUCAAGGGACCCGGGUGACCGUAGUAUAUGGGAUGCCAUCUGGAAAGCAAAGAUCCCGGAGAAGGUGAAAAUUUUCGGUUGGAGAGUGGCCACCAAACACAAUGCCUUCAGAAGGACUAUUGCGGAUGACAGUGUAUGUGAAAUAUGCGGAAGGGAUGAGGAAGACGAGCACCAUGCCAUUGUCGCAUGCACCAGAAGUUUGGCUUUACGCCACUCUAUGAGAGCCUUUUGGGAAAUCCCUAGAGAAUCUGAGUUCAAAAAUACAGGGGUAGACUGGCUGCAACUGCUGCUGAUCGCCCAACCUGAGCAGGUCAGAACCAAAGUAAUGUUGAUUUUGUGGCAAGCCUGGAGUUUAAGGAACAAUGCCAUACAUGGGGAUGGGAAAGAUACU
rnacentral:rRNA from 1 species